rnacentral:rRNA from 1 species
GACGAACGCUGGCGGCGUGCUUAACACAUGCAAGUCGAACGGAAAGGCCCUGCUUUUGUGGGGUGCUCGAGUGGCGAACGGGUGAGUAACACGUGAGUAACCUGCCCUUGACUUUGGGAUAACUUCAGGAAACUGGGGCUAAUACCGGAUAGGAGCUCCUGCUGCAUGGUGGGGGUUGGAAAGUUUCGGCGGUUGGGGAUGGACUCGCGGCUUAUCAGCUUGUUGGUGGGGUAGUGGCUUACCAAGGCUUUGACGGGUAGCCGGCCUGAGAGGGUGACCGGACAGUGUGAGGGUGAGACGCGGCGCACGCUCCGAGGGGGGGGGGCAGUGGAGCACGGGGGAGAAGGGGCGUAGGCCGCAGGCGGACGCGCCGGGUGCGGGAGGAGGGCCGUCGGGGUGGUAGCAGCGUUCGCCUGUGCCGAGGGGUGAGUGAGGGUAGUGGGCAAAGAAGCAGCGGCUAACUACGGGCCAUAAGCCGGGCUAAUAAGCGGACGAGCACGCGCUUGAUC